CCUCCUUUUUUUCUCAGCGAAAAUUGGCAAUCUAAAAAUAUCUUUAAAAAUCAUGAUAACUGGUCGCUAAAACUAGAUAAAUAGCGCCAAAAGAAAGAAGGCGCCAAUUUUAUAUUCUCACACACUUUCUCUUUUUCUCUUUAGUAAGGAAAUUGUAGAAUACGUAUCAAAAUUAGACUGGGCAGUUUCCGAAUCUACUCGAGACUCUUGUCUCCACAAGUCAGGAAGCGUGUAGAUGUUCCACAAGAGCUUCGAUCAGAUAUGGUCAGGAUUGGACUCCAGGAAGGACUGUACAGUGGAGAUAAAUGGACUUAUGUUUCAAAUUCAGCAACAUUGUCCUCUAAUGAAGUGCAAAUCUGUGUGGGUGAAACUAGUAAUAACCAUACACUGGGUGGCAGAAAAUGGGCCAAUUUUUAGCCCAUUGCUUUGGAUCGUCUUUUCCAAUGAGGCCCUUAUAAAUUCAUCAAUAAGCCUACCUCGUAUCAGCAUAUGUUUCAACGCUUGGUUUAAACAAUGUAAUUUAUGAAACAUUUUAAUAUAUUGCUAAGUAUUUGAUAUUUUCUAUUAAAAAAAAAUAAGUUUCAAUAUACCUCAGUA